rnacentral:rRNA from 1 species
CGGGAGGCUCCAGCAGUGGGGAAUAUUGCACAAUGGAGGAAACUCUGAUGCAGCAACGCCGCGUGGAGGAUGACACUUUUCGGAGCGUAAACUCCUUUUAUAUAGGAAGAAGAUGACGGUACUAUAUGAAUAAGCGCCGGCUAACUCCGUGCCAGCAGCCGCGGUAAUACGGAGGGCGCAAGCGUUACUCGGAAUCACUGGGCGUAAAGAGCGUGUAGGCGGAUUAAAAAGUCAGAAGUGAAAUCCUAUAGCUUAACUAUAGAACUGCUUCUGAAACUCUUAAUCUAGAAUAUGGGAGAGGUAGAUGGAAUUUCUGGUGUAGGGGUAAAAUCCGUAGAGAUCAGAAGGAAUACCGAUUGCGAAGGCGAUCUACUAGAACAUUAUUGACGCUGAGACGCGAAAGCGUGGGGAGCAAACAGGAUUAGAUACCCCGGUAGUC